rnacentral:tRNA from 1 species
CGCGGGUUGGCGCAGCCCGGUUAGCGCGCUUGGCUCAUAACCAAGAGGUCGGCGGUUCAAAUCCGUCCACCCGCAACCA